rnacentral:rRNA from 1 species
GACAGAGGUGGCAAGCGUUGUUCGGAAUCACUGGGCUUAAAGGGCGAGUAGGCGGUGGAGCAAGUCUGAGGUGGAAUCUUAGGGCUUAACCCUAAAACUGCCUUAGAAACUGUUUCACUUGAGUCAAUGAGGGGAGGGCGGAAUUCCUGGUGUAGCGGUGAAAUGCGUAGAUAUCAGGAGGAAGGCCUGUGGCGAAAGCGGCCCUCUGGCAUUGUACUGACGCUGAGGCGCGAAAGCGUGGGGAGCAAACAGG